AUGCUUGGGCAGUGUCCCACUGAAUAAUACAUGUGUCUUUUAAUAGCAUUCAUGUGCUUUUUUAGUGUAGGCACUGCCAGAAGCCAGUCAGAGCUGAUGCUUGACCUGUACACUUGAGACAAGGAGCAGAGACAGAUUCUUUGAGAUUUCUGCAUUUGAAAGAGGCCAUAAAAGAAAAAAAGAUACAGAUGCUUUUCAAGUAUAUGGACGUCAAAUGGAUCUGAAGACACUAAAGAUGGCAUAUCAUUGGAUGGAUACCACUGGCUUUCAACAUAGAAAUCUAAAUAUAGAAAGGAUUAAACAAUCACUUAUAAUUUCACUAAAAUAAGUGCCAAGAUUCCUAUAGUUUCUAAUGGGGGCAGGAGCUGACCUCCUCCUUAGCUGUCCUCAGUUAAACAAUACAGAAACAUAAUGACUUCAGUGAGAGACCUGGGUAAUGAGCAUAUAUCCCCAUCAUCAGCUCUGUGUUGCCCCAUUCUUCUCCCCUGCCUUUCCCUGGCCUUCAUUACUUGCUGAAGGUAAGUAUUUUUCCUUCCUGAGAAUGGACUUCUAAGUGACAGAUAAGGCCCGGUGGAUGCUUUCACUUUAGGAAACAGCAGAGAAAAGCCUCAGAUUUAUCCCAGAGGAACUUGGGAGGGUUCACUGAGGAGAAUAAUGCUGCUGACAGCCCAACUGAAACAGCUCUAUACUGAUGCAUGCAGCAUGGGAAAUAAGCAGCAGGAGGAAUUGGAAGGCACAGUGCAAUUAAAAAACUGUGACCUAAUUGCUAUCAUGGAGACAUGACGGGACAAAUCACACAGCUGGAAUACUAUCACUGAAGGCUACAAGCUUUUUAGAAAGGAUAGACAGAGCAGGAAGAGUAGGGAAGUUGCCCUCAAUGUUAAGAAUUUCUGCAGGCAAUCACGGAGACUCCUGGCAUCCACUGAAGAUAACUUCUUGGUCUUGGUAUUAGACAGACCAACCAGAGGUAAAGUGCUACUGGACCUAGUGCUCACCAGCACAGAGAUAAUUAAAGAGGUUAAGACUGGAAACACUCAGGGCUGUAGUGACCAUACCCUGGUAGAGUUUGUGUUCUUGAGGAGGAUAGGCCUGGCAAAAAGUGAAGUCAGGACCCUGAACUUCAGGAGAGCAAACUCUAGGCUAUUUAAGAGAUCACUGGCUGAGAUUCCCUGGGAAACAAAGAUCCCAGGGGUUAGAUCUCCCUAAGGACAAAGGAGCAGAAUAGAACUGGCAGCUGUUUGAGGGUUCACAAGAGAUCUGUUCCUCAGUAUAGGAAAACAAGUAGAGGAGACAGGAAACUGGAAGGCUGAGCAAGGAUUUGCUGGUCAAACUGAGGGAAAAGAGGACACGUGCAAGCAGUGGGAAUGCAGGAUUGCUGUCUGGACAUGCAGAGAUGGGAUCAGGAGAGCCAAGGUGUGAAUGAAACUGAACUUGAUGAAGGUUGUGGAAAAUAAUAAGGAGGGGUUCUACAGGUAAAUAGGUCAGAAGAGACAGACCAAGGAGAGUGUAUCCCCUCUUGUGGGAGAUGGAUAAGUCACCUCAGCCUUGUCGAAUGUCAACUGGGUGAUAAUGAGGCUCUGGAAAGGAGAAUAUAAAAGGCUUGCUUGGAAAAGUAGAGAGAGACACACACACAUCACAAUCAUGAUCAUCACAGCAAUGAAGAAAUCUUCCUGGCACAAGAACCCUAUGUCAUGUGGCUAACUCGUGACACCAUCUGAUAAAUGAGAAGGGAGAAGUGUCUGCAUUAGGCAUGGAGAAGGCUGAGGUACUCAAUGAAUUCUUCGCCUCAGCCUUCACUAUCAGUCAUGUUUCUCAUGUCUCUCACAUCCCUGAACAUCUAGAUGGGGGAUGUGGGAGCAUCCCCCACAUGUAAGAGAAGAGCAAGUCGAAGUCCAAGACUGCCUCAUGAGACUGAACAUGUCUCAGAAGUCCUGUCCAACCCAAGUCAUUCUGUGAUUCUGAUUUAAUGAUUUUUUUAUUCACUUUCUCUCCUAGCUGGUUACAGUCAUGACUUCCCCUUCUCCUUAACUUGAGCAUCUUUUGUCUGCUGGAUGUUAGUGAUAAAGGUUAUAGUUUGCUGGAGAAAGGUGUAAAAUCUGUGGAGAAGAGGAAAGUUGGCUGUGGAAGUAAAUGUGAAAGCUAAUGCUUUGUAGCGAUUCUCCACUGUGGUGGAUAAUCCCUCCUCCUGUGAUAGAAGAACCUCUUGCCAUGGCUACAGCUGCAUACUUUUGCUGAGAAAUAAAUGCAGACUACAAGGCCUACAAGACAAGAUCACUAACUAACAGCAUUAUUGCCUAGCCUCCCAUAGCAAGCUACCUUUUAGAAGGGAAUUUUGCAGAUGAGUUCAAAUCACUGGGAAUAGACUUCCUCCUGACCACACUCUUCAUCACCAAAGAUGUAUCUCCAUGGGCAGAUGAGAACAAGCUUAAGCAUUUUCUCAGUGCUGUGAUGCAUGAGCUACACAGUUUUAUAAGCAUGACCUGUGCUCAAGCAAAUAUUUAGUUGCCUGUAAAAACAUAAUCUGUGAGCAGAAUGAAUUUCAGUUUUUCUGCCAUCUUUCCAUGUAGAAUGAUCAACAUUAGUCACAUUUGUUUUCCUUUUGAUUUAUCUCAGAGGGUGAAAAGGAAAACGGUAAAAGCGACAGAAGCCCUGUUGACAUGAAUAAUCUUUUUGGCGUUAGCAUCCAACCAAGUGGGAGAUAAAGUUUAAAUGUUUGAGAAAACAUGUUUAGGGUCAAACGGAUGGAUAUAUUUAUUCAUCUUAACAUGAUACACUGGGAGGAGCUGGAAAUAUUGUAUUCCAUGCAACAAUUUGACCUGAUCUAUAAAAGAGUUCUGUUCCAACAAAGGAGAGCAGAGCAUCUCUGAGCUCUGAGUGUAGUGUCUGGAAAGGAUGUGUUAGCACAAAAUGCAACUCUAUAUCUUGCCAUGCCCAUAAUUAGAAUCCACACAGACCAGCAUCAAGGAAGAUGGUAGCACUGCAAACUACAACUUAAUUUCACUUGUGCAACUUCUUACAGCAUUGUCAGACUUACUUCCAACUUGGAAGAAUAGAUGCAGUUUAGUAUGUUACACAGGAGUGUGUGUAAAGGAUGAAGAUGUGAAUAUUGCUUCUCUGUGUAUCAUUGUAUGCCACCCCCAAUAUUGAUUGUCUCACACAGAGCUUCAUGAGCAAGCCAAAAUGCAGAAAAUAUUACAUUUACAAUAUAUGUGAAAUUCAAUGACGUUUAACAACUAUUGUCAGAAUCAUAAGUGUCUGGUCUAUAUUUCUGUGUGUCUUGCUGGUCUUAGAUUUUUCUUCUUUGAUUAACCACUAUUUGCCAGAACAUUAUAGGUGAAGCCUACUGCUUGUACUCUUUGCAACCAUACUGGAUUGUCUUGUCAGAUGUAACUUCAUUUCCAACAUUGCCAAUGUCCUGAGACAGUUCAUCAGGUUUGGAAUGAAGCAAAUCUUGAAGCUUCCAAAAAUAUGUUUCACAUACUGUCCUUUCACUAUGUUCACUGUAUGUUUCAUACAUUGUCGUUAGAGCAGGGCCAUAGAAACCUAAUGUUGUAUGUAGCUAUUGAUGACAAUUAAUUAAUAAUUUAUGCCUGAUAUGAAGCUCUGUUUAAAGAGUCCAGCAUUGUUUUCUCUACAAUUUUACCUAAAUUUCUACAAAAAUGUCUGAAGUGAAUACGUAAGUUUUAGCAAAUAUAUCUGAUUUAAUCAGAAGCCCCAUCCUCAGGAUGGAAGCCGCCAUCUCUGAGGAGCUGCCCGGCCCUAACAGAUUAAUGCCUCUCCUCUCACUGUCCCAUGAUGCAGCUGCAGCUGAAAGCCUUGUGCAGAGCUGUCCUGAUGAGAGUGUGGCAUUGGCUUGAGCAUCUUGCUCAGGGUUGCCUUGCCAUUCUUCCAUUCUUCCUGCAUAUCCUCCAGAAGAACAUUUCUGGUGUAACGGUGAAGACAGGAGGGCAGGUGCUUAUCCUCAUCCCUUCUUCAGUUCAUAUGUUUUUGGAACUUAUGAUUUAUCACCCCACUCUGGGCUAGUACUUUGCCACUGUACCACAGAUAUGAACUAUCUUUUCUCUCUCUCUCCUUUUUUUUUUUUUUUUUUUUUUUUUUGGCUUUUGUUUUUGCUAAUCUAAAUUGUUAAUAUAAAGAUUGUAAGUUCAGACUGAAAGCUAUCUGUUUCCAGUUUAAAAAAUGUUACCUUUGUUCACAAGCCUGGCCUGUCAUAAACCACUACAGCUCUGGCUUGAGGUGCAGUGGCAUUAUUUUCCAGGGUUUCAGCUGUGACAGGAGGUCAAAAAUAAUAUAAACUCUUAAUAACACUUCCGUGCUCACUCAGUAGUGGUGAGUCACUGAGGAAUGCCCAGUGCAGCUCCUACAAAGAGACCAACUUAUAGAGGGAUGCUGUAUGGGACAAUCCAGUUGGUCCUCCCGAGGCACCCACACAGGGGUGUUACAGGCAUUAUUUCUUUUGGUUUACAAAAGGUAUUUUUUACCAGUGGUGAUUCUGCCCUGAAAAACUGUACUUUAAGAAACUGUCGUAGUUGCUGUAUCUCAGCUAUCACAGAAUCAUCAAGUUGGAAAGACCACUAUGAUAAUCUAGUCCAUCAGUGCCACAUCUACAUGUUUCUUGAACGCCUCCGGGGACAGUGACUCCACCACCUCCCUGGUCAACCUGUUCCAAUGCCUCACCACUCUUUCUGAGGAGAAAUUUUUCCUAAUAUCCAACCCGAAUCACCCAUGGUGCAACUUGAGGCCAUUCCCUCUUGUCCUGUUGUGAUAGCUAUUAUAAUGUCUGUAGAGAAAACACUUAGAAAAUCAAUGUUUCUACAAUUUAAAAAGAUUUUAAAGAGGAAAUGAUACACUUAUACAUCACAGACAUUCAGAACUCUUAAUCAGGAGAAAAUGAAAGAGUCAGGUGUUGGAACACUGUAACUUUAAUGUUCAGUGGCUGAAGCUAUACUGAACUGAUAGUCAUAAAACUUCUGAAAGGGCAGAUUGUUUCUCGAUUAGAUGAUUUUCUUUGUAAGUUUCUUUGCCAUACCUGGUAACUAGCAACUGCCAGACAGAUGUUGAGAGUAACUGGCCUGUUGUUUUAAUAUGAGAACAAAUCUUCAAGCUCCCAGAAACCAUGGUUACCUGAAGGAAAUGGGAAUGUAAUGUCCUCAAAAUGGUUAGCAAAUAAAGUGAAGAAAACUAUUGUUUCAAAUUGAAUCUUUAACCUACAAUUCUAUCAUGGGUAGGUAGAAUAGAACAUCUUUUAUACUGCCCGUGGCUAUCAUAAAAUCAAAUUAUUUUUCUCUUGUCCAAGAUUUGUUUCAAAUAAAGUAAUAAAGAAAGAAAUGAUGGGGCUGGGGGAGAACUUGCCCAUCUUUCUUUUCCAGGCUCUCUGAUGAAUCAUAGUCACACAUGUCUGAGUAAUCAAUUUCCCCAGCACAUUUCCCAAAUUCCCCAGCUGUAACUACGACAACGCAGUUAGAGAUUGAACAUGCCUUUGCAAAAAGAAUGAACUUAAUUCACCCAGCUCCUUUACACCCUGUUAAGAGUAAUUUAGUGCCUUUUGAUCAAGGUGACAGUAGAUAGAUAACCUUACAGCAAUGCAGUGACCCCUGCAAAGUAAAUGCGAGGCCACAGGGGCAAGUCAGGACUUCUUUCUCCGGCCUAUUCCACUACAUCAGUCUGUAACUGGGGGAUGAUGUAAAAAAUGAUAUGUUAUUGUGUAUAAAUAUAUAUAAACAUACAUAUGUGUAUAUAGAUGGAUAGGCAUCAUGCUUAUGUUCAUGGACUCUGUUGGUAAAGGAUACCUUAAUUCUGGCAUUUCCUCACUUUGGAGUGCUCUGCUUUGCAAGAGUCAGAGAUUUUUUUUCUCUUGCUUACAUCAGGGCAUCAGGCUGUAGCAAGUCCCUGAGAACUGGGUGACACAAGAGGAAACUCAAGAGAGCAGAGCCAAGAAACAUCAUUCCCACUGCUGGCUCCACCGUUGCUUUCUGCUGUAGGUUGGGGCACAGUCACAUCCCUCUCUUUUGGUGGCCCCACCUCUGAGGAGGGGGCAGUUUGGGUUGAACCUGGUAGGGCUUGUGAAAAAUAGCUCUUCUGCUUCAGCCUCCAAGGGUGCUCCCAUCCUGCCAGCACCUACCUGGUGUCCUCAGUUAAUUUUGGGAGAGUUAUCUGGGUACAGCUGAUGAAUAAUGUGGUCUGAAAAUGGGAAACAGAAAAUUAGGCAGUAAAAUAUCCAGUUUUUAACUAUAAGAGGGGAAAAACAGCAGAACUUUGUUUGCUUUUAUGCAUAAAUAAGUCUAGAAAAUAGACCUACUUUCCAUAUUGAAGCCAGUGCAUUAAAGUGUACUACCUCCAUUUAUUGGUUUCUGCUAUUUGCUGAAAGUUAUCCAUAGCUGCUGACGAUAGUUAACUGCUAUUAUUCAACUUCUUCUGCUAGACUGAGAAUUAUUCACGGGAGCCAAGAUAAUGUGAGCACUUAAAAGACCUGAUCCUUUGUGACUGGCACUUGUGCUCUCCUGAAUACAUCAUCAAUCACCUAACAGUAAGGCUCCAGUAAAACACUGAAGUCACAUCACAUGUAUCAAGCAGAGAGCUGACUAAAUGCCUACCAGUACUGAACUGACAUUUUCCUACAGCAACAGAUGAUUUUACAUAUCCUUCUCACUGGGUCAUGAGAAUUCAAAAGUUAUACGAUUAUUAACCAAUUUAUUUUUUCUGUUUUCCUGUUUCUCUUGAGUAUAAAUUCACAACUGCAACAGCUAACAACAACCAAUGUCUUCUAUUAUAAUCAACUAGAAUUUUGCUGCAAGAAUCCUUACAGGAUUAAAUCUUAUUUGAGAUAGAGAAAUGCUUCAUAGAGUCAUAGAAUCAUAGAAUGGCUUGGGUUGGAAGGGACCUCAAGGAUCAUCAAGCUCAACCCCCCAGUAUAACUUCCCUAUAUAGAUUUAACUUCUUGCUUCUUCACUAAGUAACAGGUGAAAGUAAAAUGUUUGUAUAUGUCUAGCCUUCCUUACAGUCACAUAGACCAGCUAAAAUCUCUUCUGAGGUGAUUUUCUGUCAAUCCAGAAUUGUUCUUAUCACCUCCAACAAUUCUGUUGGAGAAUGCUAAGUUCCCUCAUGGAAGGCAAGAUCUUAUUUCUCUGCAGACCAUUUAAGCCAAAAUAAAUAUCUACACAUGUAUUGGCAUUUGAACCAUUCUCUCCCUCUUUUACCUGUAGCUUUGUUUUCCUAGUCCACCUGAAUAGGUAUGAAAUGAGAUCAUUAACUUGGCAUACUCAGGAGGACCACAGUGUGUCCACAUGCCUUUCUUUCUAUGCUUCUCUGUCUAAAUUUUCUUCACCCAAAUAGAUUAGAGUAGACUGACAGGGAGCAAAUUUUAUCUCUGGUACUGCAAUCUACUACUAAUUAUGUCAGGUAUAACUUCCAUAGCAUAACACUCGUGUCUUUUUGAUAGGGCUCUAUAUACUGUAUGGAUUUACAAAAGCCAGGGAAAGCUACCAACUGCUUUGGAUGAUUUUUGCAUGAAGAUCAUACUUAAAAUACUGAAUUUAAUCCUAUUCUUCCACCUUUUGUAUGCCUUUUCUGUGGCAGAUACAUGAAGGGACUUUAUUAUAGAGCCAUCGUAACCUCCACACAGAUAAAGAUAAAAAAUAAAAAAGCAGAAUAACCUACUUCAGAAGUAGAGAUAUCUUGUUGGAUACACAAUACACCAUUCUCAUUAUCACCAUUAUUUAUAAGCGUGACUCACACUAACAACCCAUGUGUGUUUAUUUGAACUCUUUUUCCCAUUUAUUGUUCUCUACAGAAUCAGAGGUGAUGAGGUGAGAGUAUGUUGACAUUCUUUUAUAUAUUCAUUAAAAAUGAAAAAGUAUCUGCCUUGUUUCUAUGAGCAAGUAAGCAUAAAAUACUUGUCUGAAUUUCUUACAUGUUAAAGAAUCUGUACUGGGUCAUGAGCAGUCAGCAUUUACCCAAGCCCACUGAUGCAUGGGCUUUUCAUGAAGAGCUUCUAUUAGCUUUAUAGUAAAAGAUAUACACAAAUCUCUGCUCGAUAGAAGAUUAGAUACAUGUUGUUGGAGGAAAGUGAACAAAAAUCUGACUAAAAAAUACCAGAUAUAGACUUUACUUGAAUAUACAUUAGAAAGAUAUUCUGCCCAGUAAACCAAAAUAACUUCUACUUCCAUGCACUGUGAUGGUUUUACUUGUUUGUCCCUCUCUUCAUAUUUUAACAAUUCAGGACUCCCUAAUAGCACAGUGUCAGAAAGUGACUGCAGUUUGUUCAUCCUUUAUUCUCAUUCAUUCCGUGACAUACUGUCAUUUGAUUUACAUAAAGUUGUUUUAUGCAUCUGACUCCUUGCCAUAGUUUAGGAACUUCUGUACAGAACUGGGCACUUGCAUGUGUGUGCAUCUUUUGUUAAAGGAGGUCUGCUUUACUUCAGAUGAUAAUGGAGGUCAGAUUCUGGUGUAAGAGGGCCCCCCUCCCCCCUUAUUUCCCCUAGACAGAGGACCAAAGGUCAAGUCUCAGAUUCCUAUGUACUUUCCUAUGUAUGUUGUACUUCCCUAGAAGUUAUGUGUUAUCUGCAUCUGAGGUCUGAGAGAAUUUGUUUUCUUCCUAAUGCACUUCUAGCAAUCUGAUUAACCUUGUAAGAAGUUGACAUGGAGAGAUAAAACAUGCAAGGUGUUUUCAUUCAGUCAUUAGCUCAAUGACAGUUCAGCUUAUGAACAUUAUAGGGAAAUCCUGGUCUAGUACAGACACCUCCAUGCUCAACAUGGUGUUCUUCAGAGCAUCAUUUCUUGGCUUUCCUCAUGCACCAUUGUGGGAACAUAAACUUAGGUCUGUGGUCUCCACCAAAGUAGCUGAACACUGAAAAAGUUCAUGUUAGCACAUUUAGUCUGCAUUGUUGAAGUAUUUUGUGAGAUCUAGCACUUGGAUUGGUCAUUUACACUCAGACUUGCAAAGAAGAUGGUAGAAAGAAAUGUGCUAGUGAAAGAUGAUGAUGAAAUGAUGUUCACAGUAUUUGGAAUUGCUAUUGAAGAAGAAUGUAUUAUGGACAUGUAAGGGCUUCAGUGAGGCAUGUUAAGCUGUUGUGCUGGCCUAUAUCCUACAAAUAAGCUUGAAUUUAGUAUUAGAGCAGAAAAUUAUAAAAAAGUCAGUGAGUUACCAGUGAGUUAGUCAUUGCUUAGUCCAGUCAUCAGACUGACAUAAAAAGAAUCUCUGUAAGUCCUAAAAUAUGAUUUAAAAAAAAAGGGAUGAUUCUCUAUUUAAUAAAAUAUAAAUUGUGCUUAAAAGAAUAUAAGUAUUGUUUUCCAGGCCCAGCUUAAAAAUGUGUGGGGCAGUGAAAUCAGCUAUCCCAUCAAAAUAUUUUGUUUUAGAAAUCAAUUAUUCUGUUCUCAAAAGCCACAAUUUGAAAGGUAUGAACAUCCUAUGAGACAGAUAGACAGCUGUUUCCUCUGGGACAGCCUCCUCUCCUCUUUCUGUCUGACCCCUCCCAACCCUGAACAUAGAUGAAACCUCCAUAGAAAUAUUGAGAUGAGACAGUACCUGAGUACAGGUCUUUCAGACAAGAAAGAAGGAGCCAUUCGCUAAUUCUGCAGGACAGGGCUUGGGUUCAGCCUAGCUGUGAAUGUCUAUCCUCAUUAUAUGCUUGGGACUAGGGGGAAUGGUUUUAAACAAUAGGACAAGGGGGAAUGGUUUUAAACUAAGACAGCGAAGUUCAGGUUAGAUAUUAGAAGGAAGUUUUUCAC